GAGUUUGAUCGUGGCUCAGAUUGAACGCUGGCGGCAUGCCUUACACAUGCAAGUCGAACGGCAGCACGGGAGCUUGCUCCUGGUGGCGAGUGGCGAACGGGUGAGUAAUGCAUCGGAACGUAUCCUGGAGUGGGGGAUAACGUAGCGAAAGUUACGCUAAUACCGCAUAUUCUGUGGGCAGGAAAGCGGGGGACCUUCGGGCCUCGCGCUCUUGGAGCGGCCGAUGUCGGAUUAGCUAGUUGGUGAGGUAAAGGACUCACCAAGGCGACGAUCCGUAGCAGGUCUGAGAGGAUGAUCUGCCACACUGGAACUGAGACACGGUCCAGACUCCUACGGGAGGCAGCAGUGGGAAUUUUGGACAAUGGGGGCAACCCCGAUCCAGCCAUGCCGCGUGAGUGAAGAAGGCCU
rnacentral:rRNA from 1 species